GUGCCAGCAGCCGCGGUAACACGUAGGGCGCAAGCGUUGUCCGGAAUUAUUGGGCGUAAAGAGCUCGUAGGCGGUUUGUUACGUCCGCUGUGAAAACCCAGGGCUUAACCCUGGGCUUGCAGUGGAUACGGGCAGACUAGAGGUAGGUAGGGGAGAAUGGAAUUCCCGGUGUAGCGGUGAAAUGCGCAGAUAUCGUGAGGAAGACCAGUGGCGAAGGCGGAUCUCUGGACAGCUCCUGACGCUGAGGCGCGAAAGCGUGGGUAGCAAACAGGAUUAGAAACCCCCGUAGUCC
rnacentral:rRNA from 1 species